UCUCGUUUUUGCUCUUCUCUGUUGCUACGGGGGGCAAGUGGACUCCUCUCUUCUCUCCUUGUGCUGACCCCCAGCGUCUCUCACACACACACACACACACACACACACACACACACACACACACACACACACACACACACACUUCAGAGAGAGAGAGAGAGAGAGAGAGAGAGAAAAGGGUGGAUGUACCUGUUGGAGGACGAGCUCAUGUGAUCUUGCGC